ACGCAGCGAAAGCUGCGCUAAUACCGCAUACGAUCUAUGGAUGAAAGCGGGGGACCGUAAGGCCUCGCGCGAUUGGAGCGGCCGAUGUCAGAUUAGGUAGUUGGUGGGGUAAAGGCUCACCAAGCCAACGAUCUGUAGCUGGUCUGAGAGGACGACCAGCCACACUGGAACUGAGACACGGUCCAGACUCCUACGGGAGGCAGCAGUGGGGAAUUUUGGACAAUGGGCGCAAGCCUGAUCCAGCAAUGCCGCGUGCAGGAAGAAGGCCUUCGGGUUGUAAACUGCUUUUGUACGGAACGAAACGGUCUGAGUUAAUACCUCGGGCUAAUGACGGUACCGUAAGAAUAAGCACCGGCUAACUACGUGCCAGCAGCCGCGGUAAUACGUAGGGUGCAAGCGUUAAUCGGAAUUACUGGGCGUAAAGCGUGCGCAGGCGGUGAUGUAAGACAGUCGUGAAAUCCCCGGGCUCAACCUGGGAAUUGCGAUUGUGACUGCAUCGCUGGAGUGCGGCAGAGGGGGAUGGAAUUCCGCGUGUAGCAGUGAAAUGCGUAGAUAUGCGGAGGAACACCGAUGGCGAAGGCAAUCCCCUGGGCCUGCACUGACGCUCAUGCACGAAAGCGUGGGGAGCAAACAGGAUUAGAUACCCUGGUAGUCCACGCCCUAAACGAUGUCAACUGGUUGUUGGGUCUCUUCUGACUCAGUAACG
rnacentral:rRNA from 1 species